GCAAACGGGAUUAGAUACCCUGGUAGUCCACGCUGUAAACGAUGUCGAUUUGGAGGUUGUGCCCCUGAGGCGUGGCUUCCGGAGCUAACGCGUUAAAUCGACCGCCCGGGGAGUACGGCCGCAAGGUUAAAACUCAAAUGAAUUGACGGGGGCCCGCACAAGCGGUGGAGCAUGUGGUUUAAUUCGAUGCAACGCGAAGAACCUUACCUACUCUUGACAUCCAGAGAACUUUCCAGAGAUGGAUUGGUGCCUUCGGGAACUCUGAGACAGGUGCUGCAUGGCUGUCGUCAGCUCGUGUUGUGAAAUGUUGGGUUAAGUCCCGCAACGAGCGCAACCCUUAUCCUUUGUUGCCAGCGGUUCGGCCGGGAACUCAAAGGAGACUGCCAGUGAUAAACUGGAGGAAGGUGGGGAUGACGUCAAGUCAUCAUGGCCCUUACGAGUAGGGCUACACACGUGCUACAAUGGCAUAUACAAAGAGAAGCGACCUCGCGAGAGCAAGCGGACCUCAUAAAGUAUGUCGUAGUCCGGAUUGGAGUCUGCAACUCGACUCCAUGAAGUCGGAAUCGCUAGUAAUCGUAGAUCAGAAUGCUACGGUGAAUACGUUCCCGGGCCUUGUACACACCGCCCGUCACACCAUGGGAGUGGGUUGCAAAAGAAGUAGGUAGCUUAACCUUCGGGAGGGCGCUUACCACUUUGUGAUUCAUGACUGGGG
rnacentral:rRNA from 1 species